AUUGAACGCUGGCGGCAGGCCUAACACAUGCAAGUCGAACGGUAACAGGAAGAAGCUUGCUUCUUUGCUGACGAGUGGCGGACGGGUGAGUAAUGUCUGGGAAACUGCCUGAUGGAGGGGGAUAACUACUGGAAACGGUAGCUAAUACCGCAUAACGUCGCAAGACCAAAAAGGGGGACCUUCGGGCCUCUUGCCAUCGGAUGUGCCCAGAUGGGAUUAGCUAGUAGGUGGGGUAACGGCUCACCUAGGCGACGAUCCCUAGCUGGUCUGAGAGGAUGACCAGCCACACUGGAACUGAGACACGGUCCAGACUCCUACGGGAGGCAGCAGUGGGGAAUAUUGCACAAUGGGCGCAAGCCUGAUGCAGCCAUGCCGCGUGUAUGAAGAAGGCCUUCGGGUUGUAAAGUACUUUCAGCGGGGAGGAAGGGAGUAAAGUUAAUACCUUUGCUCAUCGACGUUACCCGCAGAAGAAGCACCGGCUAACUCCGUG
rnacentral:rRNA from 1 species